AAGACAACAGGAGCUACAGCAGCAGUGGUUCCAAGCUCAACUUGCACAACAGAAUGCAAUACUGCAGCAAAUAGCGACCCAACAGAAUAUACAAGUGCCACCACUGGUACCUCCACCUUUUGCACAGGCCGGUUGGCCAUCAGCUUCACCUCAGCCUUUUCACACCCCACCACCUAACCUAGCGGCACCGGGAGACUCACACGUUGAUCCAAC